AGCCUACCCUAGCCCAACCACCAUACCUGAAAGCAAGCAAAAACCAAACGUAAAUAUUAAACUAAAACAUUCUCCCGCCUAAGUAUAGGCGAUAGAAAAGGCAAUAGGAGCUAUAGACUCUAGUACCGUAAGGGAAAGAUGAAAUAACAAUGAAAACCUAAGCAACAAACAGCAAAGAUAAACCCUUGUACCUCUUGCAUCAUGAUUUAGUAAGAACAACCAAGCAAAAUGAAAUUUAAGCUUGCCAUCCCGAAACCCAAGCGAGCUACUUACAAGCAGCUAUCCAUGAGCGAACCCGUCUCUGUAGCAAAAGAGUGGGAAGACUUGUCAGUAGAGGUGAAAAGCCUAACGAGCUGGGUGAUAGCUGGUUGCCUGUGAAACGAAUCUAAGUUCUCCCUUAAUUUCAUCUCCAAAGACACACUAACUCUAUCGUAGAAAUUAAGAGUAAUUUAAAGGAGGUACAGCUCCUUUAAAACAGAAUACAAUCUCCCCCAGAGGAUAAGAACUACUGAUAAACCCCUGUAGGCCUUCAAGCAGCCAUCAACAAAGAAUGCGUCAAAGCUCUAACCACAAAAAAAUUCAAACACAUAUACGACUCCCUCACCAAUAACAGGCUAACCUACCCAAAGUAGGAGAAUUAAUGCUAGAAUAAGUAACCAAGGAAACUCUUCCUUCUAAAGCACAAACUUACAUACCACAUUAUUAACAGACUAACUUAUACUAUAACUAACACAAGACCAAGUAUCUAAUAAAACUGUUAAACCAACUCAGGAGUGCUACACUAGAAAGAUUUAAACCUGCAAAAGGAACUAGGCAAACCCAAGGCCCGACUGUUUACCAAAAACACAGCCUUCAGCAUACCAAGUAUUGAAGGUGAUGCCUGCCCAGUGACAAAAAGUUCAACGGCCGCGGUACCCUAACCGUGCAAAGGUAGCGCAAUCAAUUGUCCCAUAAAUCGAGACUUGUAUGAAUGGCCAAACGAGGUCUUAACUGUCUCUUGCAGGUAAUCAGUGAAAUUGAUCCCCCCGUGAAAAAGCAGGGAUGAACCCAUAAGACGAGAAGACCCUGUGGAACUUAAAAACCAGCAGCCACUCCUAAUCCCAACAAAAGCCUAUCAGGCCCACCAACAAAAACAACUGGCCCGCAUUUUUCGGUUGGGGCGACCUUGGAGCAAAACAUACCCUCCAAAAAUAAGACCACCCCUCUUUACCAAGAGAAACUACUCCACGUACUAACAGUAACCAGACCCAGUACAACUGACCAAUGAACCAAGCUACCCCAGGGAUAACAGCGCAAUCCCCCUCAAGAGCCCAUAUCGACAGGGGGGUUUACGACCUCGAUGUUGGAUCAGGACAUCCUAAUGGUGCAGCCGCUAUUAAGGGUUCGUUUGUUCAACGAUUAAUUAGUCCUACGUGAUCUGAGUUCAGACCGGAGCAAUCCAGGUCGGUUUCUAUCUAUGACUAACUUCUCCUAGUACGAAAGGACCGGAAAAGUAAGGCCAAUACCCCAAGCACGCCUUCCCCAAAAGUAAUGAACACAUCUAAAUUACCUAAAGGACCCCCACUAUUAACCCUAAACAAGGGCG
rnacentral:rRNA from 1 species